rnacentral:misc_RNA from 1 species
CUAUAUCAGCAGAAAAGGAUGCAAAAAACUAUUAAACAGGUUAUAACAGCAUGAUAACAGUUAAGGAAUCUUAAAACACUUUGUAAUUAUUAAUUCUUAUUUGACCUAAGCAUUUACAAGUUUUGCUAGCUUGAUCAUCUUUAGCUAUUAUCCUGGUAGUUCUUGUCUCUGAGGAGAUAAAGCUACCCUACUGGGUACAUAAGCAGCGAAUAUAACAACUAUGAAUUAUGAGAAAUAAUUCAAAAGAAGCAAUGGUGGAACAAUAAACAAUUCAGCUAGAGUGAGUAUUGUGAUAAUGAUACUAGGUUGCUGGCAGUGGCAAGGCACCAAUUGUGUCAUUUGGAGGUCGUCAGAAGUACUGAACUAGGUAACAGCAUCAGUGGCACAAAUCCUAGAUAUGAUGAAUGUAAGGAGUGAGGGAACCAACAACAUCAACAAUGAUGGUGGCAAUAUUAGAAUGAAUCACUUGUUGCCAUGGUGAUAAAUUUAAGAAUGCCUAUCAACCAUAGAAAUUUCAUUAAGCGUUCGUUUUCUCUGCUUAUAGAAAUGGUCUGUUUGGCAUUACCGUUAAAACCACUGUUGAGAAAAGCAAUUUCUUAAAUAUGUUAGUUAGAGAGUAUUAAAAAUUA